rnacentral:misc_RNA from 1 species
AUUCUCACCUUGCCUCUCUCCUUUGCCAUUCCCUCUCUCAUAGUCUUGCGUUGUCUCUAGAAGUCGAUCCUAUCCUUCCCCCUCUCAACUCAUUUCCCUUGAUUAUCAAUAUCUCAAUCCCGUUUCCCUCGAUUCUUAGAUUCUUAGAUUCAAUAUCAAUCUUCUUAAUCUCAGUUUCUCAAUCUUGCAUCGUCGCAUGUUGACGUUGCCAUCCUCACCUCAAUCUCAUAGUUAUCAGUUUCUCAAUCAAGCCAUUACAAUGCAUCCUCACGGUGUGCCAUGAAAUUGGGCAUUUUGGGUAUUGUUAUCAGUUUCUGGGUGUCAUAUAUUUGUAUUGUUGAUUGAAGAAUUGACUUGCCUCUUGCGCUUUAUGCUUGGAUGGGGUAUUGCAUAUUUGUAUUGUUGAUUGAAGAUUUGACUUGCUUCUUAUGCUUUAGUGCUGCAAAAAGCUAGAAACCCAUUUCUAUUGCUGUUUGGUUCAGCCCUUUUCUACAUCGACUCCCUUCUCUAUAUGAAGUUAGGGUUUUAUAGGUUUCCCAUUUUGGUUUUCUUCCUCCAUUUGCAAACUGAAAACAGAUGAACCCAAUCAAAAAAUUUUGGUUCAAUUCAAUUUGGUUUGCUUUCAUUUAUUUGACACUUCAGUUUUUUGGUUAUUUUGAUUGGGUUCAAUUUAGAACCAAACCAACUGUUUGUACACCCCAAGCCACAAUUCCAACCUUGUCUCGCCCCAUUGACAUUCCUAUGACCCAGAAAGUUGGAAACCACUAAGGAUAGUAACAAUUUUCCAGUAUUCUGCAUCUUUGCACUGUCAAAAAAGCUCACAUACCAUGCAACGCAAAUAACAACAACAACUAGUCUCUUAUUCAAAUGUCUAAAAUCAUUUGACGAUCACCAAAUUCAAUCACCUUAACAACCUGAAAUAUCUGAUUGACAAACUGGCUCUGUCAUUAUUUUCCACUAUAAUCACACUUCUCUUGUGUUCAAGCAAAAUCUCAUCCCAGCAUCAGCUAACUAGCUCAGUCAUCAUUUUUUACUAUAAUCACGCUUCUCUGUGUUCAAGCAAAAACUUGCAUUCAUCUCAGCAGUAACAAGCUCCUUGAAGUGACAUAGCUGCCAAUUCGAAUGCUUAAACCUUUCAAGUUUCAACAGACUCAUUAAGUGGCAAUAAGCAUCACGUCCAUUUUUCAUCUGAGGCGCUUCUACACUACCAUCAAGCCAAAUCACCUCCAUUACUUUACAUCAAUGUAUUUACCUCUAAAUCACGAACCUCUUCAGCUAAGCAUUUUAUAGGUUACACUGUUCAACCUUAUGGCAUCCUUAAGAUUAUACAUGUCA